rnacentral:rRNA from 1 species
CCUACGGGAGGCAGCAGUGGGGAAUCUUGCACAAUGGAGGAAACUCUGAUGCAGCGAUGCCGCGUGAGUGAAGAAGGCCUUUGGGUUGUAAAGCUCUUUUGUAGGGGAAGAUAAUGACUGUACCCUAAGAAUAAGGUCCGGCUAACUUCGUGCCAGCAGCCGCGGUAAUACGAAGGGACCUAGCGUAGUUCGGAAUUACUGGGCGUAAAGCGCGCGUAGGCCGUUGAGUUAGUUAAUUGUGAAAUCCCAAAGCUUAACUUUGGAACUGCAAUUAAAACUGCUCGACUAGAGUUUGAUAGAGGAAAGCGGAAUACAUAGUGUAGAGGUGAAAUUCGUAGAUAUUAUGUAGAACACCAGUUGCGAAGGCGGCUUUCUGGAUCAACACUGACGCUGAGGCGCGAAAGUAUGGGUAGCAAAGAGGAUUAGAUACCCUCGUAGUCCAUACCAUAAACGAUGAUUGCUAGAUGUUGGAAAUUUAUUUUCAGUAUCGCAGCUAACGCAUUAAGNANACNCUGGAGACGACGCGAGUAACGUACAANAGAUAAGUGNGUUGAGAGUUGCGAGACGACGACGAGGGAGAG